AAACCACCCCCUGUGCCGCUCAGAGUGUAGACACUGACUGAUGGGACCAGGUACAAAAUCCCCUGGGACAAAACAGAACUUUCAUAACUGGCUGUAGAGUUAUUGUUUUUGCCUUUUGGAAGCUUCCACCUUGUGACGGGAAGAGCACUGUCAGCCCAACACAGAAACUCUGCCGCCUGGAGUCACGUGGAUCCAGAUGCGAAGGGACUCCAACGUCAUGCUAAGGAGUUUGGGCUAAGAAUUUGUACAGCCAUAUUACAGAUUUGGAAAAUGAUGUGAAGAGAAGCUAAGGGAUUUGCCACUGCCACUCAGCUGCCAAGGAUCAGAGACAUUACUUCUACUUCUCAACGUCCAUCCUCCAACCAUUGUCCAGUGAUUCAGGCAGAAUUCCCUCCUGCUCAGGAGGUAGCCAUCCUGUGACCCUGGAAGAAACCAGCCCAAGGAAGGUGCUAACCUACAGAAGAAGGACAUGGCCAGGGUAAUCACAUAGACCCGGAGUUGAAGCCCUGACUGCACCACACCCGAAGCCUCCCCACCUUUCAACCUCUCGGUGAUGGUGAACCAAUAAACUCUUUUUAUUGUUCAAGCCA
rnacentral:lncRNA from 1 species